CGUGAUGAAAAGUGAGACCGGCAAAAGAUUAAAUUUAUUUUGUUCCUAAUAAGAAAAAAGUUUAUAUAAGGUAUCAACCUUAUUCUGUACGUGUCCGGUACAACUAAAGAACUCACUAGAGAAGGUUGUUCCUAUGUUGGAAAACCCUCAAAUCACUCAUCUCAACCUCGAAGGACAGCUUAGAGAAGGGAUUUGAAGGGACGUCCCUUGAAAGGUGAAGGGAUGCACCUUUGAAGGAGAGCUUAGAGAAACUGUUGAGGGUGAAGAAUGCACCGUCUGCUAAGGGGAAUGAGAAAAGGAAGUCGCCGUCAGACAACUGCCUGCAUUUCAGACCUGGUUCACUCCACACUUCCUUGGCCCAGCGUUCAAUACCUUUGGAUGCCCCUCCUCUCUCUUCAUCCCCUAGCCCUUCUCGCCCCCCUUUUCCUGUUCCUACCUACCCCUAUCCUCCACCCGAGGCUCUCCACGUUUCCUCUCCUUCUGUUCCCUCCCUCAUCCCCAUUCGUUUUGGUUCCCUGCCGACGGCCCUUCAUCUCCCUCCUCCUUCAGGUUCUGUGUUGUCCCGUACUCCGCCUCUCCCUCAAUCAUCUUCCGUCACCUUCCCCUCCCCCUCUUCUCCUUCAUGCCACCCUCCGACUUCAGACCUCUCCCUCCCUGCCCCUAUCAUCCCCUCCUUGUCAAGGUCUGGUCCUUCUCCUCUUUUUUCGCCUCCUCUUAUCGACCUUGACCCUUAUCCAGAAGAAACCAUGCCAGUCGCCAAAACCUCUCAUGUUUCCAUCCCUCCUGUAAGCGUCGUUCCUCCUAUUGUUACCGUUUUCCCUGUUACCGUAUCCCCUACCUCAGUAGAGACUUUGUCCCAAACACCCACAAUGGACCCCUUUCUCCAUCCCUUCGCUCCUCCCCCCAUUGUGGUGGGCUUUCCGGCAGAUCCUCUCACAGGUGACCCCAUCACUACCUCAGUUCCAUCCUUGCCUAUUCUUAUACUCAUCCCACAGCCUUCGGUAACUCUUAACCCUUUCAUUGACCCUGUUUCGGCCCUGCUACCUCUCUUCUUCACUUCUCCCCUCUUCUAUCUCUUCCUCUUAACCCUAACCCUUUGGCCUCCCCCACGGAUCCUUUCAUCUACUCAAGGAAUUUCGGCCCCUCACCUUUGAACUCUACCCUCGGUUUUUUGCACCCUGUUUUGCCCCUGCAUCUCCCUACUGACUCUCCCCUCUCAUCGACCAGCGCUGGUUGCGAAAUUGGGGAUGUCCACCCCACUGAGCCAGCAUCACCUUCUCCUGUUGCCAAUGCCAACCCCCAUAACACUUUCCCUAACUCCUCGCCCACUCUUUCUGCUACCCCUCUCUCUGCCUCUCUACUCUCCCUCUCUUCACCCACUCCUGUUUCUGUGAAUGACCCCUUCGGGCUUUCGUCGGGCAUUUUCAGGCCCACUUCUGCUGACAGUCUGGUUCCCAGUCCUACCAGCUUUACCUUCCCCUACUGCCUUCAUUGGGACGGACACUCCUGACUCUCUUCUCUCAGUGGACACCAUGGGAGAUCCGCUCUCACCCCCCUCAGCAGACUCAGACUUCGUCAAUGGAGUGGACGCUGGUCAAGGACAAAUUCGUGAAGUUUUGAGAGUCAUCGGCUUCCCCAAACCCCCCCCCCCUUUCUGCUACCCCACCCUCUGCCUUCCUACUCUCCCUCUCUUCACCCACUCGUAACGUUACUAGUACGUAACUCGUACCCGUACGGUCUUACGUCGGGUCCUACCUUUCCGUCGUCCCUCCUUCUCCGUCUCCGACCGUCGUCGUCCGUUANNNNNNNNNNNNNNNNNNNNNNNNNNNNNNNNNNNNNNNNNNNNNNNNNNNNNNNNNNNNNGUCUAGGGUCCUAAGGACAAACUUCGUCGAACGUUUUUCGACGACGUCACUCCGCCUUUCCCAACCCCCCCCCCUUUCUCGCUACCCACCCUCUGCCUUCCUACUCUCCCUCUCUUCACCCACUCCUGUUUCUGUGAAUGACCCCUUCGGGCUUUCGUCGGGCAUUUUCAGGCCCACUUCUGCUGACGGUCUGGCUUUCCCAGUCCUACCAGCUUUACCUUCCCCUACUGCCCUCAUUGGGAUGGACACUCCUGACUCUCUUCUCUCAGUGGACACCAUGGGAGAUCUGCUCUCACCCCCCUCAGCAUACUCAGACUUCGUCAAUGGAGUGGACGCUGGUCAAGGACAAAUUCGUGAAGAGUCAUUGGCUUCCCCGAACCUCCCCCCCCCGCCGAAAGACCCUUCAAAGAAUUCUUCAAAGUUGAAGCCCAGUCAAGAGCAAGGGUAAACAAGAAAAGUUCCUGAGAAAUCUCAAACUUGGCCUCCCCUCUUCUUCCUCCCUCUCCUUCUCCCCCACACACCAGUAUUCGGCCCCUACUGCCCCACUGGUGAGACGUUCCCUUAGGAACUCUCCCCUCUCCAUUACUCAUCCAUGCUGAUUUUAUCCCGGAAUAUCUGAGGCCUCAGCCAUCCUCUCAAGAAGGGUGCAGUCAAAGACCUCUGCUUUAGACAUUGGCCUUCUAUUCUGGCCUUAACCGAGACCAAACUGCCUUCUCCUACUCUGCUUCAAGUCCGACAGGUCUGGGGGAGACGCCCUUGCCAUUGGGCAGCAGUGCCAGCUGAAGGAGCUUCAGGGGGAAUCUGGGUCAUUUGGGACCCAACGAUUCAUUCCUUAGUCUCCCAACACUUGGGAAGAUUCUCAGCCACCACUCUUCUUUCCAGAAUUCGUGACGGCUUUUUUUGGAAAUUUACCGCUGUCUAUGGGCCUACCCAAGACUCUCUUCGACCUCUUUUUUGGGAGGAACUAAAUCUGGUUGGUCAACUUCCUCACCUUGUGUGGUGCCUAGGGGGUCAGUUUAACGUCAUAGGUGGUCCCAUGAAAGGAACUAUGCUUCAAGGAUCUCCCCGGCUAUGUCAGCUUUCUCUGAUUCCAACAACCUCUUAGACCUCCCUACCCAAGGCACUCAAUUUACUUGGUCCAACCACACUUCCAAUCCCCUCUUUUCAAGAUUGGAUCGCUUCCUUACCUCUAUUGGUUGGGGCACCUCCUUUCCUAUAACCCAUUCCUUGGCUCUGCCCAAGCCCACUUCUGACCAUUGCCCUAUCCUCCUUAACACCAAUUCCUCACAUAGUGGCCCCAAACCUUUUAGGUUUGAAUUAGCAUGGUUGGAAGAACCUUCUCUUACUAAGAUUUUACCGAUUUGGUGGCUGGAGCUUUCUAGUUUGGUUGUUGGUUCGGCAAGGUUCAAAUUCCAGCGAAAACUGCAAUUACUCAAGGGUCUGCUAAAAUCUUGGAGUCAGAACCUCCCAGGGUUCCUCAACCCCAGAAAACUGCUACUUUGCAGUCCAUCCAGGCCCUUGACAACCUAGAAGAAACUAGGUCUCUCUCGGGCCCUGAACUUCAGGAAAGGGACGACCUUAAACUACUUUUCCAAUCCCUACUAAAAAAAGAGGAAAUAUUCUGGUACCAGAGAUCUAGAAUUAAGUGGUUGAAUUAGGGGAUCUUAACACUGGUUUCUUUCACAAAACAGCUAACUGCAGGCGCAGGAAUAACUCUAUAUCUCAGCUGUUGGUGGAAGGAAACCUCUUAGAUCGCCCCCCAGACAUAGAGCAAGCCAUCCUAGGCUAUUUUCAAACCCUCUUCUCAGCCCCCUCAACCCCUCGCCCCCAGAUGGGGGACAUCCAAUUCCUUGCUUUACUGCCUGAAAAGGCUUCUUGGCUGGAGAGACCUUUCUCAAAACCCAAAAUCUUAGCAGCCUUUUCAGACCUCGACUCUGUCAGAGCCUGGGGGACAUCCAAUUCCUUGCUUUACCGCCUGAAAAGGCUUCUUGGCUAGAGAGACCUUUCUCAGAACCCGAAAUCUUAGCAGCCCUUUUGGACCUCGACUCUGA
rnacentral:lncRNA from 1 species